CAGCCGCCGCGGGAAUACGGAGGAUCCAAGCGUUAUCCGGAAUCAUUGGGUUUAAAGGGUCCGUAGGCGGUCUUGUAAGUCAGUGGUGAAAGCCCAUCGCUCAACGGUGGAACGGCCAUUGAUACUGCAGGACUUGAAUUAUUGGGAAGUAACUAGAAUAUGUAGUGUAGCGGUGAAAUGCUUAGAGAUUACAUGGAAUACCAAUUGCGAAGGCAGGUUACUACCAAUUGAUUGACGCUGAUGGACGAAAGCGUGGGUAGCGAACAGGAUUAGAUACCCCAGUAGUCCCUGUCUCUUAUAU
rnacentral:rRNA from 1 species